CAGUAGCCGCGGGAAUACGAAGGGGGCUAGCGUUGUUCGGAUUUACUGGGCGUAAAGGGCGCGUAGGCGGAUUGAUAAGUCAGGGGUGAAAUCCCGAGGCUCAACCUCGGCACUGCCUUUGAUACUGGGUAUCUUGAGUAUGGAAGAGGUGAGUGGAAUUCCGAGUGUAGAGGUGAAAUUCGUAGAGAUGUGGAGGAACACCAGUGGCGAAGGCGACUCUCUGGUCUGUAACUGACGCUGAGGAGCGAAAGCGUGGGGGAGCGAACAGGAUUAGAGACCCCAGUAGUCCCUGUCUCUUAUA
rnacentral:rRNA from 1 species